rnacentral:misc_RNA from 1 species
GAUGAAGAACGUAGUGAAAUGCGAUAAGUAAUGUGAAUUGCAGAAUCUCGUGAAUCAUCGAAUCUUUGAACGCACAUUGCGCCCUAUGGUAUUCCGUAGGGCAUGCCUGUCUGAGCGUCAACUCCCACCCUCUCAAGUCUUCUUUUUUGUUAAGGAGAUUUGGAUUACUUUGAGGAAGUAUCGUUUUUUUUUUUAUAAUGCUACUCCUCAGAAAUUCAUAGGCAGUAUGGUCAAACCUGAACCAGGCGUAAUAAUUCUAUAAAAAUCGUCUAUGAAGGAAUGUCUGUAUUAGCCUUUAACCCCCCCUAAUUUAUUUUACUUGGGUGACCUCAGAUCAGGUAGGGAUACCCGCUGAACUUAAGCAUAUCAAUAAGCGGAGGA